rnacentral:ncRNA from 1 species
GAGCCGUAUGCGGUGAGAGUCGCAAGUGCGGUAAUAAGGGGGGUUCGCGUUUAUAUGUGUAGUGUGGUGGUUGGGCCUACCCACCCUAU